GGAGUUAAGGAGACCUGUUAGAAUCCGCAGUUACAAAGUCCUGUUUAAAAGGACUUAUUAUUAAAAACAAAAGCAAAAUCUCGAAAAAAAAAAUCCUCACUCCUGAAAG
rnacentral:lncRNA from 1 species